CGGUGUUAUGUACUCAGGUGAAUAUGAUAUUUAUGAUAUUUGUCAGAGUAACAUCACAAAUAUCAUAUUCACCUGAGUACAUAACACCAACACAGAA